UUUUGACCUAUAUAUGAGUGUACAGUUACAAUCUGAAUCACUUAACAGGAAGUGCCAUAGAAUUAAAUAAAUGGAUAUUCAUGCAAUUAACAAAAGAAUAGAUACUAGUGAUCUGAACAUUUUUCUCUGAUUCUGACAUUUAAACUUUAUAAUUAAUUACAACUAUAGCGUUAUACAGAGGAAAAAAUUGAGCAUUUAUGAGACAAGAAAGUAUAAGUCUACAGUUACUGCUUGAAGAACGACAUCGUCCACCCGACAGUAGUGUUGACAGAAGUGAUGAUCUCCAAACUACAUCUAUGGCACUAGUAUAGUAAUUUAAUUUUGUCUUCUGGUGUUACAAUAUCUGUUCAGGGAGUGAGAAAAGAGUAAUGAAAGGUGAAAGAAUAUUGUAUUUAAUUUGUUGAUUACAAUAUACAUCUAUAGUCAAAACCUGACAGUAUAUAAUCCUACAAUUAAAACUCGGUAUCACGACACUACAACAAAUAAGGUAACAAUCAAUGCUGAUAACCAUUGAUUGAUAAUUACAAUAAUUACAAGGAUUAACACAAUCAAAGGUAAUCAUUGGAAUCCACAUAUUAAGAGAUCUUGUCUUUAAUUUCCCCUUUCAAAUUGAUGGGUGAGGGAGUCACCCCAAGUUUGUCUCUGAGUUGGCUGAAUCGUGUAUGAGUUAAUGCUUUAGUGAGACAGUCAGCUAUUUGAUCAACUGAUGGAACAUAGGCUACAACAAUCUCAUUUUGCAGUACUUGGUCUCUGAUGUAGUGCACAUCAAUUUCAAUGUGUUUGGAUCGAGUAUGCAUAACUGGAUUUGAAGCUAGUGCCUUAGCACUCUCAAGUUAUCACACCACAAUGUUGGUUUUCUUGGCAGGGAGAGUUUCAAUUCAGCAAGAAGUGAACGAGUCCAUGUUAUUUCAGUAGCUAAGUCAGCCAAUGCUCUAUAUUCUGACUCUGUACUGGAUCUUGAGACUACCUUUUGCUUCCUCGAAGACCAAGAAACAAGUGUUUCACCAAGGAAGACACAUUGACCAGCCAUAGAUUUUCUAUCAUCCACACUUGUUGCCCAGUCUGCAUCUGAGAAUCCUACCAAGUCCAAGUCAGUUGAUGGUUUGAUGUGUAGGCAGUGUUGAAUGGUACCUUGAAGAUAUCUCAAUAUUCUUUUUAUGCCUCGCCAGUGAUCUAUAGUGGGAGAGCUCAUGAAUUGGUUGAGCUUGUUAACUGAGAAUGCUAUAUCGAGUCUUGUGUUUAUUAAGUAUUGCAAAGCUCCUAUAGCUUGUCUGAAUAUGGUUGGGUCUUGUAAUUUCUCCCCUUCAGUUGUAAACUGCUUGCUGGUUAUCAUAGGUGUUGGACAAGAUGAAGUAUUUUCCAUUUUGAAUUUUCUCAUAAUGUCUCCUAUGUAUUUUGAUUGCUUCAAGUACAUGCCAGAUGCAUCUCUUUGAACUUCUAUGCCUAAGAAGUAGUGUAGUGGACCAAGAUCUUUAAGUGAAAACACAUCAUUGAGUUGUUUGAUGAAGGAUUCCAAGAACUUGGUGUUGUUCCCUGUGAUAAUUAUAUCAUUCACUUAUAUAAGUAGGAAGUUAAUGUAAUUUGUACCUCUUGAAGUGAAUAGUGAGGAAUCACUUUAUGUGUUCUUGAAACCCCAGCUGACUAAGGCAUUUUUUAGGCUAUCAAACCAGACUCUUGGAGCCUAUUUCAAUCCAUAAAUUGCCCUGGAUAACUUGCAAACAUGUUCAGAUUUAGUUGAGUCUACAAAUCCUUCUAGUUGAUGCAUAAACACAGUUUCUUUGAGAUAGCCAUUAAGAAAUGCAUUGUUUAUGUCUAGCUAUUUGACCUCCUAAUUGAGGUGUACUGCAAUUGAGAGUAUGAUCCGAACUGUACUGGCCUUGACAACUGGACUGAAGGUCUCUUCAUAGUCCAAUCCAGUUGCUUGUUGAAAUCCUUUUGCUACUAAUCUUACAUUUCUCCUUUCAAUUGUUCUAUCUGCUUUGUACUUGGUCUUGAAGACCCAUUUAGAACCAAUGAUGUUCCUGAGUGAGGUCGGGCUGUCAGGCUAAUACCCGCUGACUUGGAAGUUGCUUUUGCUGGUCUUCCCGAUGGCUGGCCAAAAUCAGAAGAGUUUUUGGCCUUGAUAUGGUACCAAGAGCCAAGUUUGAUUUGACAUGAGUGCCUGAUACUCUUUUUUCCAUAACUUCUUUUCACUGUGGUCUUGAGUGCUUCUGUGACAUUUUCUGGUUCCUUCUCAUCUGUGGUAGUUUCAACAAACCCGACACAUGGCUUCUUUGCCUUAUGCAUUUCAGCUUUGCUCCUGGUCCAAUGAGUGUUGAUGUUUGGUUCAACAAAAUCUUGGUGAUCUCCAGCAACUGUUUCUGUGAGAUCAGGAAUUUGAAUGUUGUUUGGUGAAUUAUUUUCAAAAAUUGGACUGCUCCUUGUUGAAUUAUUUGCAGCCUAAUCUCUGCUAAAAUUAACUGCACUCUCAGUUGGAUUGGUUGUUCUUGUUCAUCACCAAGAUUGUUAUCAUCUGGAAGUGUGGCUGCUCCAAUAUGUGGGUUACCUGUAGUAUGCAAAGAAAAAGGGGGAGAUGAACUCUCAGUUAGUGUUUUCAAGGGACUUCUUGUAUUAAGAAACCCAUCAUGGAAUGGAAAAUGUUCUUCAUUGAAAACAACAUGUCUUGAAGUGAAGAUUCUUCCAUGAGAAUUUAUGCAUUUGUAUCCUUUGUGAGAGUUACUAUACCCCAAGAACACACAUCUGGUUGUGUGGAAUUGUAGUUUGUGCUAAUUAUAGGGUUUAAGACAGGGAUAGCAAGCACACCCAAAGGGUUUUAAGGAAUUGUAGUUAGGUUCCUUUUGAAAAAGCAAUGAGUAAGGGCUUUCAUUUUGAGUGACUAGAGAGAGCAAUCUGUUUAUGAGAUAAAUUGUUGUGGAGAAAGCUUCCCACAAAAAAUGUAAGGGCAUUUUGGCUUGUGCUAGCAAUGUCAAGCCAAAUUCAGCAAUGUGUCUGUGUUUUCUCUCAGCUUUACCAUUUUGUUGUGAUGUGUAAGGGCAUGACAUUCUGAAUUGCAUACUUCUAUUGCACGAUUUUGCACAACUUUGUAUUCACUACCACCAUCACAUUGGAUUGUCUUAAUUCUCUUGUUAAAAAAACUUUCUACCAUGUUCUAAAAUUGAAUAAAGGUUUGUACAGUAUCCGAUAUCUGUUUCAGAGGAUAAAUCCAAGUAAAUCUACUAAAAUCAUCAAUGAAGUGAACAUAAUAUUUGAAACCAGAAGAAGAUAUUAUUGGUGCAGGAUCCCAGACAACAGUAUGAACUAAUUCAAGGAUUUCCUUGGCAUGAGAGGAAUGUUUUGAAGGGUAAAAAAUGCAUUUUGCCAUAUUGACAAGCCUCACAAAAGUUAAAAUGAUCUCUAAGUGAUAAUUUCACAUUACAACUUUUCAAGAAUCUAUCUAGGACUGUAUUAUUUGGAUGACCAAGCCUUCUAUGUCAACUCUCCUUGACAGAUACAUAAGCACACGAGUCCCUUUCAGUCCUUGAGAGUUGAUACAAGCCAUCUUUAAGUGUCCCUUUUAAAAUUGGCUUCCGAGUUAACUUGUCCUUCACAAAGCAACAAUUUGCAUCAAACUCAACAAGAAUGUUAUUGUCAACAGUUAAUUUUGACACACUUAAUAGAUUUUUUGUAAUGUUGGGCACAUAUAAGACAUCAUGUAAGUUGAGUGAGUUUAGUUUUGAGGAACUUGUGGCAACAAUCUACAAUUUCUCACCACUUCCAACUAUUAACGAGUUCUUACCACAAUGAUCUGCUAGAUCCUCAAAUUUUUCAGUUUGGUGUGUCACAUGAUUGCUUGCACCACUGUCAAAGUACCAAUCAUAAUCUUGAGCAGCGCUUUGUGAGGCUAGAAAGGCAUUGUGUGCUCCUUGUUUGUCACUGUCUGCUGAAUAAUUUGAGUUUGAAUAAGACUUAUCAAACAUGUACCAACAGUUUACAGUUGUGUGCCUAACCUUAUUGCAAACUUGGCAUGUUGGUUUAGACAUUCUUCCUCUUCCUUUGCCUCCUCUCCAACUUCUGAAGUUAGAGCAUCUCUCGUUGUUGUUUGUGUUGAAUUUGUUAUCUUUGUAAUCAAUUUUAUUAGCAACAUUUUUUAUGCAUCAAGAGAGAGUUUGGUAAGACCAUUCAGUUGAUCAAGUAUACUCUCAAAGGUUAGUAAUUGGGCCUGCAGAUCAACCCAAGUGACUAGUUUGAUCAGAUAGUUUGACCACCACAUGGUUGUAUUCAGAAUCCAAACCAUUUAGGGUUUGAAUGAUUAGAUCUGAGUUGGAAAUGGGACUCCCUGCAAGUUUAAGUCUGUCAUCGAGAUUCUUCAUCUUGACCAAAUAUUCCUCCAUCUUCAUUUCUCAUUUCCAGAUGCUGUGAAACUCAGAUUUAAGGUAGGUGAUUCGAGAUCUUGUGUGUGCACCGGCUAGGCUUUGGGUUUCAUCCCAAAGUUGUUUUGAGGUUUCACAGUGCAACAAUUGUGUUGCUAUUUCAAUAGUCGUUGAAUUCAUCAACCAUCCAAGGAGUUGUGAAUCAUGAGCCUGCCAAUCUCCAAAUGCGAGUUUUGGUUUCUUGCUUGAAUCUGCAAAAACUAUGAAUUCUUCAAGACACUCCUUUGUCCCUAGUGACGGAAGAGGCCCAAGCACAAGCCACAUGCAAGCCCACCAAAGGGUAGAUUUGGGCCAACCACUAGAGUUAAAGCCAAGAGGAUCCAAGAAGACUGGGAUAUGGCUAUUGACAACAAAGAAACUUCCCAAUACAUGAUCAAAGAGGCCAAAACUCUAGUGUAGAGUAGACUUUAAUUUCUUGUCAAAAUUAUAUUAAGAAUUUUAUUUGUAAUUUUUCCUUAGAUGAAAUUUGGCACCUAAAAACCAACCUUGGUUAAAUUAGGAUUUCUAAAACACCUAAUUUUAACCAAGGCCGGUUAUGAUUAACCAAGACACAUUUUCCACAUGUUCCAUAUUUAACAUGUGCUAAACGUUUUCCAUCACAUGUUAAAUAUGCUUCAUGUGCUCCAUGUGCUAAGUGGAAAUUAGGCGCCGAUUUCAAAUUCUUUUUCAUUUGAAUUUCCCUCCAAUUCUCUUGUUCAAAUCCAGCCCUCACUUGCUAUAUAAUGAGGUGCUUGGGUCAUGUAAAUUCAAGAUUAAUAUAAUUAGUGAAUUGCUGCCCAAAAUAUGAGCCAAUUUCACUUCUUGUCCAAAAGCUCUUAGGUUAGGCUAUUGAUCUUCAAUUCUCACCUUGCCAAACCACUCUUCUUCCCUACCUAACAUGCACCUUCAAGGCCACCACACCUCUUAGGAGGGCCUUGCACGUCAACCUCCAUUGUGCUUUCGCCGAUCAUCAACAAAUUCUACAAUUCAUGAAGGCACUUCUCCAUCUCCUAGCAUGUGCCCAUCGAGCCUGCAACCUUUGACUGUAGAAAUCACCAAGGAUUUUCAUGAUGGAUAGUUGUCUCUGUCCAACUUGACAGAUACAGUGAAUGGAAGACAAUUUUGGGAUUUUGAAUCUGCAGCGGAUGUCAUGAUUUGAAUUGGAUCAAAAGCUCUGAUAUCAAGUGAGAAAAGAGUAAUGAAAGGAGAAAGAAUAUUGUAUUUAAAUUUGUUGAUUACAAUAUACAUAUAUAGUCAAAACCUGACAAUAUAUAAUCUUACAAUUAAUACCCAGUAUCACGACACUACAACAAAUAAGAUAACAAAUAAGAUAACAACAAAUAAGAUAACAAUUAAUACCCAGUAUCACGACACGACAUUACAAUAAUUACAAGAAUUCACACAAUUAAAGACAAUCAUUGGAAUCCACAUAUUAAGGGAUCUUGUCUCUGAUCAGGGAUUAUCCCAUACCCUUUUUAAUUUCCUGCAAUUAUCAAACAAAGUAAAUGCCGUAACAUAAGCUUUAUGGCAAUCCACUCACAUCUGCUAGAACAUACCACAUGAG
rnacentral:lncRNA from 1 species